UACGAAGGGGGCUAGCGUUGCUCGGAUUGACUGGGCGUAAAGGGCGCGUAGGCGGUUUGUACAGUUGGGCGUGAAAUUCCUGGGCUUAACCUGGGGGCUGCGUUCAAUACGUGCAGGCUUGAGUUCGGAAGAGGGUCGUGGAAUUCCCAGUGUAGAGGUGAAAUUCGUAGAUAUCGGGAGGAACACCAGUGGCGAAGGCGGCUCACUGGACUGGUAUUGACGCUGAGGUGCGAAAGCGUGGGGAGCAAACAGG
rnacentral:rRNA from 1 species